UGUCCAUGGAAUUGGAUGCAGAAAAUUGGAUUAGAUAAGUAUAUCUAUGUGUUUAGUUUUGUUUUGUCUGAUUUUAGUUUUGUCUUUUCUUUUGCAGGUCCAAUUUGUCCAGGAUUUUUCAGAUUUGUCCGUUGGGAUUUGGGAAGGAAAGCGAUGCCAUGGAUUUAUAAGAAGCAUCGUUGGGGAGGUUAUAUGUCAGUUUGUAUGUUUUCAGUUUACUGUUGCUGCCAGGAAAAAAAAAGUCGAAUACAGGGGUCAUGCUUUUGUCCUUUUGCCAGGCCAGCAGCGCCGCGCUUAGGAUUCAGAAGGACGAGGGGGCAUCCUAGCAUGGAAAUGGCAUCAAAAAAUUAUGCGUUUUUAAUGUUUUAGUUGCCAGAAACUUCGUUUUUCGAUUGCGUCAAGUAGGGAUAUUGUCCGUGAUUUCGUUGUUGUCGGGAAAAAGUCGAAAUUCAAGGGUCACGAUUUUGACCUUCUGCCGGGUCGGCAGCGCCGCACCAAGGGUCAAUAAAAUCGAGGGGACUUCCUGGAAUAGGGACGG